rfam:Schistosoma haematobium scaffold1218_3, whole genome shotgun sequence.
GCACUUCUGAGGAGUCCCACAAUAGGACGAAACGGCCGUUCAGUGC